rnacentral:rRNA from 1 species
UACGGGGGGGGCAAGCGUUGUUCGGAAUUACUGGGCGUAAAGGGCUCGUAGGUGGCCAACUAAGUCGGACGUGAAAUCCCUCAGCUUAACUGGGGAACUGCGUCCGAUACUGGAUGGCUUGAGUUUGGGAGAGGGAUGCGGAAUUCCAGGUGUAGCGGUGAAAUGCGUAGAUAUCUGGAGGAACACCGGUGGCGAAGGCGGCAUCCUGGACCGACACUGACACUGAGGAGCGAAAGCCAGGGGAGCAAACGGG